rnacentral:rRNA from 1 species
UACGGAGGGUGCAAGCGUUAUCCGGAUUCACUGGGUUUAAAGGGUGCGUAGGUGGGUUGGUAAGUCAGUGGUGAAAUCUCCGAGCUUAACUUGGAAACUGCCAUUGAUACUAUCAGUCUUGAAUACCGUGGAGGUCAGCGGAAUAUGUCAUGUAGCGGUGAAAUGCUUAGAUAUGACAUAGAACACCAAUUGCGAAGGCAGCUGGCUACACGAAUAUUGACACUGAGGCACGAAAGCGUGGGGAGCAAACAGG